rnacentral:rRNA from 1 species
AUUGAACGCUGGCGGCAGGCCUAACACAUGCAAGUCGAGCGGAUGAGGGAAGCUUGCUUCCCGAUUUAGCGGCGGACGGGUGAGUAAUGCCUAGGAAUCUGCCUAUUAGUGGGGGAUAACGUUCCGAAAGGAACGCUAAUACCGCAUACGUCCUACGGGAGAAAGUGGGGAUCUUCGGACCUCACGCUAAUAGAUGAGCCUAGGUCGGAUUAGCUAGUUGGUGAGGUAACGGCUCACCAAGGCGACGAUCCAUAGCUGGUCUGAGAGGAUGAUCAGCCACACUGGAACUGAGACACGGUCCAGACUCCUACGGGAGGCAGCAGUGGGGAAUAUUGGACAAUGGGCGAAAGCCUGAUCCAGCCAUGCCGCGUGUGUGAAGAAGGUCUUCGGAUUGUAAAGCACUUUAAGUUGGGAGGAAGAGUUGUAAGCUAAUAUCUUGCAGCUUUGACGUUACCAACAGAAUAAGCACCGGCUAACUCUGUGCCAGCCGCCGCGGUAAUAC